rnacentral:rRNA from 1 species
UACGUAGGGUGCGAGCGUUGUCCGGAAUUAUUGGGCGUAAAGAGCUUGUAGGCGGUUUGUCGCGUCUGCUGUGAAAAUCCGGAGCUCAACCCCGGACUUGCAGUGGGUACGGGCAGACUAGAGUGUGGUAGGGGAGACUGGAAUUCCUGGUGUAGCGGUGAAAUGCGCAGAUAUCAGGAGGAACACCGAUGGCGAAGGCAGGUCUCUGGGCCACUACUGACGCUGAGAAGCGAAAGCAUGGGGAGCGAACAGGAUUAGA